GACGAACGCUGGCGGAAUGCUUUACACAUGCAAGUCGAACGGCAGCACGGGGCAACCUGGUGGCGAGUGGCGAACGGGUGAGUAAUACAUCGGAACGUGCCCAAUCGUGGGGGAUAACGUAGCGAAAGCUACGCUAAUACCGCAUACGAUCUACGGAUGAAAGCGGGGGAUCGCAAGACCUCGCGAGAAUGGAGCGGCCGAUGGCAGAUUAGGUAGUUGGUGGGGUAAAGGCUCACCAAGCCGACGAUCUGUAGCUGGUCUGAGAGGACGACCAGCCACACUGGGACUGAGACACGGCCCAGACUCCUACGGGAGGCAGCAGUGGGGAAUUUUGGACAAUGGGCGCAAGCCUGAUCCAGCCAUUCCGCGUGCAGGAUGAAGGCCUUCGGGCUGUAAACUGCUUUUGUACAGAACGAAAAGGCUCUGGUUAAUACCUGGGGCUCAUGACGGUACUGUAAGAAUAAGCACCGGCUAACUACGUGCCAGCCGCCGCGGUAAAAC
rnacentral:rRNA from 1 species